rnacentral:rRNA from 1 species
CCUACGGGAGGCAGCAGUGAGGAAUAUUGGUCAAUGGGCGCGAGCCUGAACCAGCCAAGUCGCGUGAGGGAUGAAUGUCCUACGUAUCGUAAACCUCUUUUAUAAGGGAAUAAAGUGAGGGACGUGUCCCCUUUUGUAUGUACCUUAUGAAUAAGCAUCGGCUAACUCCGUGCCAGCAGCCGCGGUAAUACGGAGGAUCCGAGCGUUAUCCGGAUUUAUUGGGUUUAAAGGGUGCGUAGGCGGGCUGUUAAGUUAGCGGUGAAAGGCCCGGGCUGAACCCGGGAACUGCCGUUAAUACUGGUAGGCUAGAGUGUGAGUGAGGUAGGCGGAAUGUGUGGUGUAGCGGUGAAAUGCUUAGAGAUCGUGCAGAACCCCGAUUGCGAAGGCAGCAUGCC